CUAUUCCUCCUAUGUUUACCUCUCCAUGUUCUCUUACUUUGACCGGGAUGAUGUUGCCCUGCGUCACUUUGAGUUCUUCAAGGAGCAGUCUCAUGAGGAACGGGAACACGCUGAGAAACUGAUGGCAUUCCAGAAUAAAUAUGGAGGCUGCAUCGUCCUGCAGGACAUCAAGGCUAGAUUCAGUGUACAUGAGAAUUAGUCUGGCACCUCCUCUAAUGAGAAUUGAUGGUGGGACUCCUCCAAUUGAGGGAAUUGGAAGCAGCCUUCAUUCAGAAAUGAAUCUGGAUAGCAAAAGAUGCAUUUGGGGUAAAAUGUUGCCAUCUACCCUGAUUUAAACUAGGUUCCAUAAUGAACUCAAUGAGGCGUCAUGGCAGAAGCCAGAGCAGGAUGAGUGGGGCAAUGGUCUGGAGGCAAUGCAGAGAGCUCUGCAGAUGAAGGAUUGAACCAGAGUCUGCUGGAUCUGCACAAACUUGCCUCUGGCCACACGGACCCUCAUUUGUGACUUCCUGGAGAGGCACUACUUGGAUGAGCAAGUGAAGAUGAUCAAGAAGCUGGGAGAUCACAUCACCAACCUGAAGAGACUGGGAGCCCCUGAGAAUGGCAUGGGAGAGUACCUGUUUGACAGGCUCACGCUGAGCUGAAUGGGAGUUUUGGACAAAAUUGUGAAUGACUUGUUGCUAAUUCUGUCUUGAUCUGCUGUGGAAACAAAGUAUUUGACAACUAGUGUUUGUCUAUUUCUGUAGUGAUUUGUGUUAAAAGCUGUUUUCUGCCAUGUGAUUUUACUUCUCUCCAAUGAUUGAAAUAUGGAGAAGACCAUCACCUUGCAUAUAACUAGUUGUUGCUAAAUGUAGCUGUGCUCAUCUUCCCCCAGCCUCACUUGAGGUUAUGCUAGUUGCAUAAAAUGUAGCACAUCUGAAACUUCCAGUUUACUGGGGGAAAAACUUACCAGGUGUGGCUGCAUUUAGGAAGAGAAAGCAGACUCUACACGAUGAGUCCACUGACUCAUCCUUGGAACAACUGUCAAACUGUAAUAAUCAAUCAUUGCAAGUGUCUCCAAUGUUAGCCUACAGUGGCUAGAGCUCUAAACCAAAUAGGACUAAAGGGAUUUUUGUUCCUUUUUUUUUUUGUAAACUAAUACUGGGGUAAGCUAUUCAAUCAUUUGAGUUUAUUCUAAUUGAUUGGAUCAGCCAUGAUUUAGGUUUUUGUUUUCAAGUUGCAUCCUAGUUCAUGCCUUCCCAAUGACAUUCUCAUUAAGAAGAAUGGAUCUACCUCUGCCUUGUAUGGGAGUGCUGCUUCUGAUUCUUAACUUUGUUUUUUUUUUGUGCCACUUAGUUUUAACUCGUAUUGUCAUCUCCAUCUCCUCCCCAGCAGAAGAUGCAAGCAUUCUCCAUCAAUUCCA